rnacentral:rRNA from 1 species
UACGUAGGGGGCUAGCGUUGUCCGGAAUUAUUGGGCGUAAAGGGCGCGUAGGCGGCUUUGCAAGUGACGGGUGAAAUCCCUCGGCUUAACCGAGGAACUGCCUGUCAAACUGCAUGGCUUGAAUCCGGGAGAGGGAUGCGGAAUUCCAGGUGUAGCGGUGAAAUGCGUAGAUAUCUGGAGGAACACCGGUGGCGAAGGCGGCAUCCUGGACCGGCAUUGACGCUGAGGCGCGAAAGCCAGGGGAGCAAACGGG